rnacentral:misc_RNA from 1 species
UCCGUGUUCACCACGGCAGUCUCCCUAGAGAGCCCAACUGAAUGCUGGCAACUAAGGACAAGGGUUGCGCUCGUUGCGGGACUUAACCCAACAGGUCACCCCACGAGCUGACGACAGCCAUGCAGCACCUGUCACUCGGUUGUAUUGCUACAAAGACCGUAUCUCUACGGCUGUCCGAGGAUGUCAAACCCAGGUAAGGUUCUUCGCGUUGCUUCGAAUUAAACCACAUGAUCCACCGCUUGUGCGGGCCCCCGUCAAUUCCUUUGAGUUUUAGUCUUGCGACCGUACUUCCCAGGCGGGGUACUUAGUGCGUUAGCUCCGGUUCGGCGGGGGUCAAGACCCACCAAACCUAGUACCCAUCGUUUACGGCGUGGACUAC